GACGAACCGUGCGAACGUUAUUCGGAAUCACUGGGCUUAAAGCGCGUGUAGGCGGGUCGGUGCGUCGGCCGCUGAAAUCCCCCGGCUCAACCGGGGAAGGGGCGCCGAUACGACCGGCCUGGAGCGACGUAGGGGGAACUGGAACUUCCGGUGGAGCGGUGAAAUGCGUUGAGAUCGGAAGGAACGCCCGUGGCGAAAGCGAGUUCCUGGACGUCGGCUGACGCUGAGACGCGAAAGCUAGGGGAGCGAACGG
rnacentral:rRNA from 1 species